GACGAACGCUAGCGGCGUGCCUAAGGUAUGCAAGUCGAACGGUCUCGCGCAAGCGGGACAGUGGCGCACGGUCGAGUAACACGUAGACAACCUGCCUCCCAGCGGGGGAUAACAGGCCGAAAGGACUGCCAAUACCGCAUACGCCCGGAAGGGGCCUCCCUUCUAUGGCAAAGGCUUCGGUCACUGGGAGAUGGGUCUGCGGCCUAUCAGCCUGCUGGUGAGGUAACGGCNCACCAGGGCGACGACGGGUAGCGGGUCUGAGAGGAUGAUCCGCCGGGACGGGGACUGAGACACGGCCCCGACUCCUUCGGGAGGCAGCAAUGAGGAGUAUUGCGCAAUGGGCGAAAGCCUGACGCAGCGACGCCGCGUGGGUGAGGAAGUCC
rnacentral:rRNA from 1 species